AGAGUUUGAUCAUGGCUCAGAUUGAACGCUGGCGGCAGGCCUAACACAUGCAAGUCGAGCGGUAGCACAGAGAGCUUGCUCUCGGGUGACGAGCGGCGGACGGGUGAGUAAUGUCUGGGAAACUGCCUGAUGGAGGGGGAUAACUACUGGAAACGGUAGCUAAUACCGCAUAAUGUCGCAAGACCAAAGAGGGGGACCUUCGGGCCUCUUGCCAUCAGAUGUGCCCAGAUGGGAUUAGCUAGUAGGUGGGGUAACGGCUCACCUAGGCGACGAUCCCUAGCUGGUCUGAGAGGAUGACCAGCCACACUGGAACUGAGACACGGUCCAGACUCCUACGGGAGGCAGCAGUGGGGAAUAUUGCACAAUGGGCGCAAGCCUGAUGCAGCCAUGCCGCGUGUAUGAAGAAGGCCUUCGGGUUGUAAAGUACUUUCAGCGGGGAGGAAGGCGAUAAGGUUAAUAACCUUGUCGAUUGACGUUACCCGCAGAAGAAGCACCGGCUAACUCCGUGCCAGCAGCCGCGGUAAUACGGAGGGUGCAAGCGUUAAUCGGAAUUACUGGGCGUAAAGCGCACGCAGGCGGUCUGUCAAGUCGGAUGUGAAAUCCCCGGGCUCAACCUGGGAACUGCAUUCGAAACUGGCAGGCUAGAGUCUUGUAGAGGGGGGUAGAAUUCCAGGUGUAGCGGUGAAAUGCGUAGAGAUCUGGAGGAAUACCGGUGGCGAAGGCGGCCCCCUGGACAAAGACUGACGCUCAGGUGCGAAAGCGUGGGGAGCAAACAGGAUUAGCUACCCUGGUAGUCCACGCCGUAAACGAUGUCGACUUGGAGGUUGUGCCCUUGAGGCGUGGCUUCCGGAGCUAACGCGUUAAGUCGACCGCCUGGGGAGUACGGCCGCAAGGUUAAAACUCAAAUGAAUUGACGGGGGCCCGCACAAGCGGUGGAGCAUGUGGUUUAAUUCGAUGCAGCGCGAAGAACCUUACCUACUCUUGACAUCCAGAGAACUUUCCAGAGAUGGAUUGGUGCCUUCGGGAACUCUGAGACAGGUGCUGCAUGGCUGUCGUCAGCUCGUGUUGUGAAAUGUUGGGUUAAGUCCCGCAACGAGCGCAACCCUUAUCCUUUGUUGCCAGCGGUUAGGCCGGGAACUCAAAGGAGACUGCCAGUGAUAAACUGGAGGAAGGUGGGGAUGACGUCAAGUCAUCAUGGCCCUUACGAGUAGGGCUACACACGUGCUACAAUGGCGCAUACAAAGAGAAGCGACCUCGCGAGAGCAAGCGGACCUCAUAAAGUGCGUCGUAGUCCGGAUUGGAGUCUGCAACUCGACUCCAUGAAGUCGGAAUCGCUAGUAAUCGUAGAUCAGAAUGCUACGGUGAAUACGUUCCCGGGCCUUGUAG
rnacentral:rRNA from 1 species